ensembl:miRNA
AGUGGGUUUGGUUCACUUUGAUGUGCUGUUUGCAACAAAGUGUUAUCCCCAUCCACUU